rnacentral:rRNA from 1 species
UGGGGAAUAUUGGACAAUGGGCGGAAGCCUGAUCCAGCAACGCCGCGUGAGGGAUGACGGCCUUCGGGUUGUAAACCUCUUUCAGUACCGACGAAGCGAAAGUGACGGUAGGUACAGAAGAAGGACCGGCCAACUACGUGCCAGCAGCCGCGGUAAUACGUAGGGUCCGAGCGUUGUCCGGAAUUAUUGGGCGUAAAGGGCUUCGUAGGCGGUUUGUCGCGUCGGGAGUGAAAACAGCGGGCUUAACUCGUUGCUUGCUUUCGAUACGGGCAGGCUAGAGGUAUGCAGGGGAGAAUGGAAUUCCUGGUGUAGCGUGAAAUGCGCAGAUAUCAGGAGGAACACCGGUGGCGAAGGCGGUUCUCUGGGCAUUACCUGACGCUGAGGAGCGAAAGUGUGGGGAGCGAACAGGAUUAGAUCCCUGUAGUCCACACCGUAAAACGUUGGGCGCUAGGUGUGGGGUCCUUUCCACGGAUUCCGUGCCGUAGCUAACGCAUUAAGCGCCCCGCCUGGGGGAGUACGGCCGCAAGGCUAAAACUCAAAUGAAUUGA